rnacentral:rRNA from 1 species
AGCGAACGCUGGCGGCGUGCCUAACACAUGCAAGUCGAACGUGAAAAGGGAAACCUGAGUAAAGUGGCGUACGGGUGAGUAACGCGUAGGUAAUCUACCCCAGAAUCUGGAAUAACCUGCCGAAAGGCGGGCUAAUACUGGAUAGAGCGAGGGAACUCGUAAGAGAGUUUUUCGGGAAAGGGAGCCCGCAAGGGCCGUCGUUCUGGGAUGAGCCUGCGUCUCAUUAGCUAGUUGGUAAGGUAACGGCUUACCAAGGCGAUGAUGAGUAGCUGGUCUGAGAGGAUGAGCAGCCACACUGGAACUGAAACACGGUCCAGACUCCUACGGGAGGCAGCAGUGGGGAAUCUUGCGGAAUGGAGGAAAGUCUGACGCAGCCACGCCGCGUGAGUGAAGAAGGCCUGCGGGUUGUAAAGCUCUGUCGGAUGGGACGAACAUCUUCAUAGUGAAUAGCUAUGAGGACUGACGGUACCAUCAAAGGAAGCACCGGCUAACUCCGUGC